rnacentral:rRNA from 1 species
UCUAUCUUUUAAAAAUUUAAAUAUUUUAGUACGAAAGGAUCAAGUAUUUUAAUUAAAUUAUUAAAAUAUUUAUUUGAAUUUUAUUAAAAAUAAUUGUUAAAAAUAUUAAAAAUUGAAUAGUUAUAAUAAAAAUUUUUAAGUUAAAGUUAUUUAUUUAAUUUAAAUUAAGAAUUAAAA